rnacentral:rRNA from 1 species
AGUCGAGCGGUAACAGGAAUUAGCUUGCUAAUUUGCUGACGAGCGGCGGACGGGUGAGUAACGCGUAGGAAUCUGCCUGGUAGUGGGGGACAACAUGUGGAAACGCAUGCUAAUACCGCAUACGCCCUACGGGGGAAAGGAGGGGAUCUUCGGACCUUUCGCUAUCAGAUGAGCCUGCGUGAGAUUAGCUAGUUGGUGGGGUAAAGGCUCACCAAGGCGACGAUCUCUAGCUGGUCUGAGAGGAUGAUCAGCCAC